GACGAACGCUGGCGGCGUGCUUAACACAUGCAAGUCGAACUGAAAGGCCCUGCGUUUGUGGGGUGCUCGAGUGGCGAACGGGUGAGUAACACGUGAGUAACCUGCCCUUGACGUUGGGAUAACUUCAGGAAACUUGGUCUAAUACCGGAUAGUCGCUCCUUCUUCAUGGUGGUGUUUGCAGAGUUUCGGCGGUUGGGGAUGUGCUCGCGGCUUAUCAGCUUGGUGGUGGGGUAGUGGCUUACCAAGGCUUUGACGGGUAGCCGGCCUGAGAGGGUGACCGGGCACAUUGGGACUGAGAUAAGGCCCAGAAUCCUACGGGAGGCAGCAGUGGGGAAUAUUGGACAAUGGGAGGAAGCGUGAUGCAGCAACGCCGCGUGCGGGAUGACAGGUUUCGGGUUGUGAACCGCUUUCGCCUGUGACGAAGAGUGAGUGACGAUAAUGGGUAAAGAAGCAACGGCUAAAUACGUG
rnacentral:rRNA from 1 species